rnacentral:rRNA from 1 species
GUAAGGAAUAUUGGACAAUGGAGGCAACUCUGAUCCAGCCAUGCCGCGUGAAGGAAUAAGGCCCUAUGGGUUGUAAACUUCUUUUAGACGGGACAAAACCCCUUUACGUGUAAAGGGUUGAUGGUACUGUCAGAAUAAGCAUCGGCUAACUUCGUGCCAGCAGCCGCGGUAAUACGAAGGAUGCAAGCGUUAUCCGGAAUUAUUGGGUUUAAAGGGUGCGUAGGCGGACUAAUAAGUCAGUGGUGAAAGCCUGCAGCUUAACUGCAGAAUUGCCAUUGAUACUGUUAGUCUUGAGUACAGUUGAGGUAGGCCGAAUGUGUCAUGUAGCGGUGAAAUGCUUAGAUAUGACACAGAACACCGAUUGCGAAGGCAGCUUGCUAAGCUGUAACUGACGCUGAGGCACGAAAGCGUGGGGAGCAAACA